rnacentral:rRNA from 1 species
UGGGGAAUAUUGGACAAUGGGCGCAAGCCUGAUCCAGCCAUACCGCGUGGGUGAAGAAGGCCUUCGGGUUGUAAAGCCCUUUUGUUGGGAAAGAAAUCCAGCUGGCUAAUACCCGGUUGGGAUGACGGUACCCAAAGAAUAAGCACCGGCUAACUUCGUGCCAGCAGCCGCGGUAAUACGAAGGGUGCAAGCGUUACUCGGAAUUACUGGGCGUAAAGCGUGCGUAGGUGGUCGUUUAAGUCCGUUGUGAAAGCCCUGGGCUCAACCUGGGAACUGCAGUGGAUACUGGGCGACUAGAGUGUGGUAGAGGGUAGCGGAAUUCCUGGUGUAGCAGUGAAAUGCGUAGAGAUCAGGAGGAACGUCCAUGGCGAAGGCAGCUACCUGGACCAACACUGACACUGAGGCACGAAAGCGUGGGGAGCAAACAGGAUUAGAUACCCUGGUAGUCCACGCCCUAAACGAUGCGAACUGGAUGUUGGGUGCAAUUUGGCACGCAGUAUCGAAGCUAACGCGUUAAGUUCGCCGCCUGGGGAGUACGGUCGCAAGACUG